GACGAACGCUGGCGGCGUGCCUAAUACAUGCAAGUCGAACGAGAGCGCCCGGUGCUUGCACUGGUCAAUCUAGUGGCGAACGGGUGAGUAACACGUGGGGAACCUGCCUAUCAGAGGGGGAUAACAUCCGGAAACGGAUGCUAAAACCGCAUAGGUCCUCGAACCGCAUGGUUUGAGGAUGAAAAAAGGCGCAAGCUUCUGCUGAUGGGUGGACCCGCGGUGUAUGAGCUAGUUGGUGAGGUAACGGCUCACCAAGGCCGUGAUGCAUAGCCGACCAGAGGGGGGGAUCGGCCACAUGGGAACUGGGAAACGGCCCAAACUCCUACGGGAGGCAGCAGAAGGGAAUCUUCCGCAAUGGAGGCAAGUCUGACGGAGCAACGCCGCGUGAGUGAAGAAGGUGUUCGGAUCGUAAAACUCUGUUGUUGGAGAAGAACAAGUGCUGGAGUAACUGUUAGCGCAUUGACGGUAUCUAACCAGAAAGCCACGGCUAACUACGUG
rnacentral:rRNA from 1 species